GGCUUUAUAUUUUAAUUAUAAAAUUUUAAAUUGCAAAUUUAAAGAUGCAUAUGUGCUAAAGCUU
rnacentral:tRNA from 1 species